GUAAAACACAAUGUGAAGACAUGAUUACAAGAGACACAAAUUACUAACCUCACAGACACAAGAGCAUGCAAGCCAUUUUUAUCCCAGUCCUAUAGUUAUCAUUCUGGUCAGUAACUAUUAAUUAAAUAGAAGUAACAAUUCACUUGGUCAAACCACCUUACCCAACACUGCUCUGAGGUGAUAUAGUUUUCAGCACUUAAAAUACAAACAGGAAGUGGAGAGUGUAAAGACAGAGAAUCAAAUAAGCAGCUAAAUACCAAAUCUUUUGUUUACAGCACAUUCCUGACACAACCACAGAACUGCAACUUUUAAAUGACGCUGCCUUGAACCUCAUACAUCUUUCUUCCCAGUUCAGAAGCCUGAACAAGGAGCAAGUAACAUCUGCCUGCAACCAGAGUCCAUCCCCAAAAAGGUAACAGGGAAGGAGAGAGGUGACAAACCCAAACAGCAUGAAAACUUAUAAGAAAACAAAACUAGCACCCCAAAGAAAAUCAACCACAUACCUGACCAUCAGCAAAAAUUAAUACAUCUUCAGUUCCUCCACCUUUUUGAUACUUGUUUCACAUCUUUACUACAGAAACAUCAAAUUGUGAUUUUCAGGACCCUGUGACAAACAACAGGGUGGAUA
rnacentral:lncRNA from 1 species